UGCUUUCGCUGAUCUCUUCGGAGGUGCUCGGCCAAGAGAACACUGCAGCGUUGUAUAGCUGUAUAUACGAUAGUGCGGGAUGUCGUAUGCUGUGCGCGAACCCUUUGUAUUUUUUUUUUCUUGCAAUGUUUAUUUGGAGCCGCUCGCGCUUUCUUUUUUUGCAGCCCGUAUAGCGUUUCGGGGAAAGUUCGAGCUUGAAAUUUUAGUUCGCUUGCGCGCCCGGCGCGAUGCCGCGGUGUUUUUAUUAUUAAGCUUGCGAGGAGCAGGAAAAUCUGGAGGGAAAUACUUGGGGAUGGAGUUUGGAGUGUAAGGAGUUGUUUGAAUAUAAUUUUUGUUUUAUCCGUGUACGUCGGGUGAGCUCCGGGGAAGGUCUCGAAACAAGGCAACCAAUGAGAUUUGUUUAAAAAUGCGCCGGUCGUCAGGAAGAAAAAAUUGUUUCAAUAACGCUUAGAAAUUAUCGGCCGAUUGAUAUAGUUUGAAAUAUCAGUCUCGGUAUUAUUUAAAAAAUGUAUCUUUAUUCGAACAUCGUGAAUCUCUUCCUUGACUCUUCCCCUAAUAACUUACAGAUCCGCAGGUGGUUGGUCGGUUCCGAAAAGACAUAGGCUAGCGAACUUGUCCAAACAUUGGUAUAUUCCGCCCACUAGAUCACGGGACUUGACCACCUGAAAAGAAAACACACAUCGAUCACGUUCAUCAAAUCUCUGUUGCUGCAGUAGGAUAAAGUUCUCACGUAGAAUUCGUCGCUCGGAUCGGCGAAUCUCAGGGCGUUGCUCAACACCUCAGCCGCUUCUUCGAUGAGCUUCUGGCGCUCGAGGGGCUUGGCAAUCUUCGCGUCCAGCAUUCCCUGGUACAGCGGGAACUUGACUUUUCCGGCGUGAAACGCCUUGACCAACUCCUUAAUAUUCCUCGUGUUCGCUUCGGAGAGCAACAGAUUCAAAAAGGUGACUCCGCUUUCGCCUAUCUUGGUUACACACUCAUCGCAUUCAACCCCUGGGAGCAGCGAGGAAGACAGUCAUCGUAUGUGCUACGCUGGUUUCUAUCCUCGAAAGGAUUUUGGCCGAUACAUAUUCCAGUUUGUCUUUUCUGCAGCGCCGAGAGUUUGGCCAGAUGUUCGAUAAACAGUUUCUCUGUGCAAGGAUCCUUCCACCAUCCCUUCGUAUCCUGGAAUCCAAAGUUAAUAGCGCCGAAAUCAAGCAGCAGUUUCAAGCUCGUCAAGCGGUCGUUACGAUAAGUCCCGUAGAAAUUAGAGGUAAAAGCGUAAAACAGCGGCGAAUAGCCUAACUUAUCCGAGGCGUUGACAUCAGCACCGGGACUCAACAACCUACGAACCGAAUCGACGUUAUGGUAUACACAAGAUGCAUGCAAAGACGAAUGCGUUCGUUCGUUUGCUUGAAGUAUCGCCAGCAACGUGGGGUCAGCCUUGCGGUUGGCUUUGUCUACAGCACUGCAGUAUGCCUGGUAGGCGUUCUCACCUAAUGCGUUCGUCUAGGUUAAAGUUAAACCUUCGAUAGCAAGUUCAGUUCGGGCGGCCAAAUCGAGUGGAUCUUCUAUGCUUUUGGCGAUGACCUCGCUGCCUUUCUUGACUAAGAGAUCGACGAUUUUCUGGACUGCCGGCACAUCGUGGCUGCGGCUCGCCACGAACAAGUGUAGUACGGCGUUGCCGUCUCGCGGAGUACUCUGGCUUGAACGUCGGCUCCGUAUUUCAGAAGCAACUCGAUCUGCUUGUCGGAGCAUCCUCGGUUUUGGACAGCCAAGUGAAGAGGCGUCUCGCCGUCCGAGUUACGCCAGUUGAUUUCGUAGUUCGCAGCAUCGAAGAUCCGGCUCGCCGAGUGUAGAGGGUUAUCGUUUUUCUCGCUCUUCGUACUAUUUCCUGUAACCCAGUAGCCUAGCACCUUGUUAAAUCUAUCGAACAUCUUCCGUGACGCACUUGAAUUCCGUAACACUAUAGCGAAUUGCAACUGCAGCCGUGGAGCGUAUAACCUGCAUCUCAGAAGACUCACAACAGACUCGGCUGGGUGAUAUCAUCGGGAGUAUAUUAGCUUUGUAUAGUAGGAAGGAGAGGGAGUAUAAUAGUUCUCCACGUGCACAUGGUCACGGUGUGACUACCCGGCCUAUUUUGACAAGUAUUUGAUGUUGAAUUAUGAUCUCGUGUUUUUUAGUACGAGGACUAUCUGAUCUAUAUAUAGUCCGAUGUGACCGGUAUACGAUGAUAAGCCGAGUCGCUCGCACGUGUUGGCUCAAUGCGACGUGACCGGUGACCCCGACGUUUCUGAAACUCAAAAGCUAUAUUUUUCGAAUAACUUUUGGGUGAAGAAUAGAUACAACACUUUUCUUUGCGCGAGCUCGGAUGUAGAUAUUUAAAUUCCGACAUCACUCUGUAUAUCUUUAAAAUAUUUGUAUAAAAGCUGAAAAAAUUUAAUAAUAUAAAAACUUAUUUCAAACUCACUUUAUUUCAUUAUCUUAUACACAUAGGUAUACAUUAUAGAUACAAAUAUACAAAAACAUGGAUCAGACAUCUACAAUGUUCAUGUCUGUAAAUCUGUUAUGAGCUAUGUAAUGUUUCGUCGACUUCAUUGAUAUAUAUUGCUUUAAAUUAAAGUAGAAUCAAUCACCUUAUUAAAAUAUACAUUUGAAUUUUGUUUUAAGAUUACAACUUACGAAUUUCACAAUAAUUCGGAAAACGCUACGUAAGAAACUAAAUCUAACUUGAAUUUAUAAGUGAUGUUAGUUAAAACUGUAUCCUUUUGUUGAAGAUGGAAAUUCGUGUGUAUCUUUCUGUCGCCUUGAUAGGUAGUAAGAAAAUAUACUCUACUAAUUAAUCUUAUUACAAAGAACACUAAAAUUUAAUAAAAUCGACCUUUAUUAUGAAAAUGAACGUUUUACAUAUUGCUGGUAUUUGCUGCCAGCAUCAUUGCGCAUAUGCAGUGUAAUGUGUGUAGGUGUGUUUGACAAUUACAUUUCUUAACCUAUAAUUAAUUUUAGAAUUAACAAAUGGAUCCUAUUCACAAUAAAAUGAAUGAAAAAACUGUAGCUUUCCCAAAAUUUUUACAUGUCAUAUCGAAACGAAGAAAAAACAUUGCUAACUCACAAAUCUACAAGUAAACAACUUCAAUACGCACAUUCCUUGUGAUUUAAGAGCCUUAAGUUUUCAUGACAAAACUUUUACACUUAAGCUUCAUUCGUGACAAAUUAUAUCCAAUUUAUUUAUAAACGAAUUUGAAACAUUUUUUCAGAGAAAUUAAAUCUAACUUGAAGGUGUAAACAUAUUAAAAGAAAAGAGUUAAUAACAUAAAAAAUAUUUUUGGAAGGUCUUGUUAAAAGAAAAUUUGCUACUUUACACACACUAAAAGAAGAUCAUUCUUAUGUCAUUAUAUGCGCAUUACAAGAAAAAAAAA